UUAAGCGACUAAGCGUACACGGUGGAUGCCCUGGCAGUCAGAGGCGAUGAAGGACGUGCUAAUCUGCGAAAAGCGUCGGUAAGGUGAUAUGAACCGUUAUAGCCGGCGAUGUCCGAAUGGGGAAACCCAGUGCAAUUCGUUGCACUAUCGUUAACUGAAUACAUAGGUUAACGAGGCGAACCGGGGGAACUGAAACAUCUAAGUACCCCGAGGAAAAGAAAUCAACCGAGAUUCCCCCAGUAGCGGCGAGCGAACGGGGAGCAGCCCAGAGUCUGAAUCAGCUUGUGUGUUAGUGGAACGGUCUGGAAAGUCCGACAGUACAGGGUGAUAGUCCCGUACACCAAAAUGCACAGGUUGUGAACUCGAAGAGUAGGGCGGGACACGUGGUAUCCUGUCUGAAUAUGGGGGGACCAUCCUCCAAGGCUAAAUACUCCUGACUGACCGAUAGUGAACCAGUACCGUGAGGGAAAGGCGAAAAGAACCCCGGCGAGGGGAGUGAAAAAGAACCUGAAACCGUGUACGUACAAGCAGUGGGAGCACCUUUAUGGUGUGACUGCGUACCUUUUGUAUAAUGGGUCAGCGACUUAUAUUCUGUAGCAAGGUUAACCGUAUAGGGGAGCCGCAGGGAAACCGAGUCUUAACUGGGCGUUAAGUUGCAGGGUAUAGACCCGAAACCCGGUGAUCUAGCCAUGGGCAGGUUGAAGGUUGGGUAACACUAACUGGAGGACCGAACCGACUAAUGUUGAAAAAUUAGCGGAUGACUUGUGGCUGGGGGUGAAAGGCCAAUCAAACCGGGAGAUAGCUGGUUCUCCCCGAAAGCUAUUUAGGUAGCGCCUCGUGAACUCAUCUUCGGGGGUAGAGCACUGUUUCGGCUAGGGGGUCAUCCCGACUUACCAACCCGAUGCAAACUACGAAUACCGAAGAAUGUUAUCACGGGAGACACACGGCGGGUGCUAACGUCCGUCGUGAAGAGGGAAACAACCCAGACCGCCAGCUAAGGUCCCAAAGUCAUGGUUAAGUGGGAAACGAUGUGGGAAGGCACAGACAGCCAGGAUGUUGGCUUAGAAGCAGCCAUCAUUUAAAGAAAGCGUAAUAGCUCACUGGUCGAGUCGGCCUGCGCGGAAGAUGUAACGGGGCUAAACCAUGCACCGAAGCUGCGGCAGCGACACGAUGUGUUGUUGGGUAGGGGAGCGUUCUGUAAGCCUGCGAAGGUGACCUGUGAGGGUUGCUGGAGGUAUCAGAAGUGCGAAUGCUGACAUAAGUAACGAUAAAGCGGGUGAAAAGCCCGCUCGCCGGAAGACCAAGGGUUCCUGUCCAACGUUAAUCGGGGCAGGGUGAGUCGACCCCUAAGGCGAGGCCGAAAGGCGUAGUCGAUGGGAAACAGGUUAAUAUUCCUGUACUUGGUGUUACUGCGAAGGGGGGACGGAGAAGGCUAUGUUAGCCGGGCGACGGUUGUCCCGGUUUAAGCAUGUAGGCUGGUUAUCCAGGCAAAUCCGGAUAAUCAAGGCUGAGGUGUGAUGACGAGGCACUACGGUGCUGAAGUAACAAAUGCCCUGCUUCCAGGAAAAGCCUCUAAGCAUCAGGUAACAUCAAAUCGUACCCCAAACCGACACAGGUGGUCAGGUAGAGAAUACCAAGGCGCUUGAGAGAACUCGGGUGAAGGAACUAGGCAAAAUGGUGCCGUAACUUCGGGAGAAGGCACGCUGGUGUGUAGGUGAAGUCCCUGCGGAUGGAGCUGAGACCAGUCGAAGAUACCAGCUGGCUGCAACUGUUUAUUAAAAACACAGCACUGUGCAAACACGAAAGUGGACGUAUACGGUGUGACGCCUGCCCGGUGCCGGAAGGUUAAUUGAUGGGGUUAUCCGUAAGGAGAAGCUCUUGAUCGAAGCCCCGGUAAACGGCGGCCGUAACUAUAACGGUCCUAAGGUAGCGAAAUUCCUUGUCGGGUAAGUUCCGACCUGCACGAAUGGCGUAAUGAUGGCCAGGCUGUCUCCACCCGAGACUCAGUGAAAUUGAACUCGCUGUGAAGAUGCAGUGUACCCGCGGCAAGACGGAAAGACCCCGUGAACCUUUACUAUAGCUUGACACUGAACAUUGAGCCUUGAUGUGUAGGAUAGGUGGGAGGCUUUGAAGCGUGGACGCCAGUCUGCGUGGAGCCAACCUUGAAAUACCACCCUUUAAUGUUUGAUGUUCUAACGUUGGCCCCUUAUCGGGGUUGCGGACAGUGUCUGGUGGGUAGUUUGACUGGGGCGGUCUCCUCCCAAAGCGUAACGGAGGAGCACGAAGGUUAGCUAAUCCUGGUCGGACAUCAGGAGGUUAGUGCAAUGGCAUAAGCUAGCUUGACUGCGAGCGUGACGGCGCGAGCAGGUGCGAAAGCAGGUCAUAGUGAUCCGGUGGUUCUGAAUGGAAGGGCCAUCGCUCAACGGAUAAAAGGUACUCCGGGGAUAACAGGCUGAUACCGCCCAAGAGUUCAUAUCGACGGCGGUGUUUGGCACCUCGAUGUCGGCUCAUCACAUCCUGGGGCUGAAGUAGGUCCCAAGGGUAUGGCUGUUCGCCAUUUAAAGUGGUACGCGAGCUGGGUUUAGAACGUCGUGAGACAGUUCGGUCCCUAUCUGCCGUGGGCGCUGGAGAAUUGAGGGGGGCUGCUCCUAGUACGAGAGGACCGGAGUGGACGCAUCACUGGUGUUCGGGUUGUCAUGCCAAUGGCACUGCCCGGUAGCUAAAUGCGGAAGAGAUAAGUGCUGAAAGCAUCUAAGCACGAAACUUGCCCCGAGAUGAGUUCUCCCUGAGACUAUAAGUCUCCUGAAGGAACGUUGAAGACGACGACGUUGAUAGGCCGGGUGUGUAAGCGCAGCGAUGCGUUGAGCUAACCGGUACUAAUGAACCGUGAGGCUUAACCUU
rnacentral:rRNA from 2 species